UACAGAGGGGGCAAGCGUUGUUCGGAAUUACUGGGCGUAAAGGGCGCGUAGGCGGCCUGUUAAGUCGAACGUGAAAUCCCCGGGCUCAACCCGGGAACUGCGUCCGAUACUGGCAGGCUUGAAUUCGGGAGAGGGAUGUGGAAUUCCAGGUGUAGCGGUGAAAUGCGUAGAUAUCUGGAGGAACACCGGUGGCGAAGGCGGCAUCCUGGACCGGCAUUGACGCUGAGGCGCGAAAGCCAGGGGAGCAAACGGG
rnacentral:rRNA from 1 species